rnacentral:rRNA from 1 species
GACGAACGCUGGCGGCGUGCUUAACACAUGCAAGUCGGACGAUGAAACAGGAGCUUGCUCUUGGGGAUUAGUGGCGAACGGGUGAGUAACACGUGAGUAACCUGCCCUUGACUCUGGGAUAACCUCCGGAAACGGAAGCUAAUACCGGAUACGAACUGCGAAGGCAUCUUCAGCAGUUGGAAAGAACUUCGGUCAAGGAUGGACUCGCGGCCUAUCAGGUAGUUGGUGAGGUAACGGCCCACCAAGCCUACGACGGGUAGCCGGCCUGAGAGGGUGACCGGCCACACUGGGACUGAGACACGGUCCAGACUCCUACGGGAGGCAGCAGUGGGGAAUAUUGCACAAUGGGCGCAAGCCUGAUGCAGCAACGCCGCGUGAGGGAUGACGGCCUUCGGGUUGUAAACCUCUUUUUAGUAGGGAAGAAGCGAAAGUGACGGUACCUGCAGAAAAAGCACCGGCUAACUACGUGCCAGCAGCCGCGGUAAUACGUAGGGUGCGAGCGUUGUCCGGAAUUAUUGGGCGUAAAGAGCUCGUAGGCGGUCUGUCGCGUCUGCUGUGAAAACCCGAGGCUCAACCUCGGGCCUGCAGUGGU